AAAUUGAAGAGUUUGAUCAUGGCUCAGAUUGAACGCUGGCGGCAGGCCUAACACAUGCAAGUCGAGCGGUAGCACAGAGAGCUUGCUCUCGGGUGACGAGCGGCGGACGGGUGAGUAAUGUCUGGGAAACUGCCUGAUGGAGGGGGAUAACUACUGGAAACGGUAGCUAAUACCGCAUAAUGUCGCAAGACCAAAGUGGGGGACCUUCGGGCCUCAUGCCAUCAGAUGUGCCCAGAUGGGAUUAGCUAGUAGGUGGGGUAACGGCUCACCUAGGCGACGAUCCCUAGCUGGUCUGAGAGGAUGACCAGCCACACUGGAACUGAGACACGGUCCAGACUCCUACGGGAGGCAGCAGUGGGGAAUAUUGCACAAUGGGCGCAAGCCUGAUGCAGCCAUGCCGCGUGUGUGAAGAAGGCCUUCGGGUUGUAAAGCACUUUCAGCGGGGAGGAAGGCGUUAAGGUUAAUAACCUUGGCGAUUGACGUUACCCGCAGAAGAAGCACCGGCUAACUCCGUGCCAGCAGCCGCGGUAAUACGGAGGGUGCAAGCGUUAAUCGGAAUUACUGGGCGUAAAGCGCACGCAGGCGGUCUGUCAAGUCGGAUGUGAAAUCCCCGGGCUCAACCUGGGAACUGCAUUCGAAACUGGCAGGCUAGAGUCUUGUAGAGGGGGGUAGAAUUCCAGGUGUAGCGGUGAAAUGCGUAGAGAUCUGGAGGAAUACCGGUGGCGAAGGCGGCCCCCUGGACAAAGACUGACGCUCAGGUGCGAAAGCGUGGGGAGCAAACAGGAUUAGAUACCCUGGUAGUCCACGCCGUAAACGAUGUCGAUUUGGAGGUUGUGCCCUUGAGGCGUGGCUUCCGGAGCUAACGCGUUAAAUCGACCGCCUGGGGAGUACGGCCGCAAGGUUAAAACUCAAAUGAAUUGACGGGGGCCCGCACAAGCGGUGGAGCAUGUGGUUUAAUUCGAUGCAACGCGAAGAACCUUACCUGGUCUUGACAUCCACAGAACUUUCCAGAGAUGGAUUGGUGCCUUCGGGAACUGUGAGACAGGUGCUGCAUGGCUGUCGUCAGCUCGUGUUGUGAAAUGUUGGGUUAAGUCCCGCAACGAGCGCAACCCUUAUCCUUUGUUGCCAGCGGUCC
rnacentral:rRNA from 1 species